ACAAGCUUUCAGGAGAACCUCCCUUUCUCAAGUCUGAAGCAUUUCUCAGACUUGAGAAAGGGAGGUUCUCCCGAAAGCUUG
rnacentral:miRNA from 1 species